rnacentral:rRNA from 1 species
UUAUAUGAGAGUUUGAUCCUGGCUCAGGAUGAACGCUGGCGGCGUGCCUAAUACAUGCAAGUCGAACGAGUUCUGAUUAUUGAAGGGUGCUUGCAUCUUGAUUUAAUUUUGAACGAGUGGCGGACGGGUGAGUAACACGUGGGUAACCUGCCCUUAAGUGGGGGAUAACA